AUCGGGGCCCCGGGCUCCGCGCGGCGACGGCUGCCGCAGCCCGAGGAGUUUGAGGCUGAGGGGUUUAGUUGAAUCUCCCGUUCGGGUCAGUUCAAUGGGGGAGCGCGAUGGGAGCGGCGGCGGCUCCGGCGCUCGCCUUUUGUCUUGGGGCUCCUCGCCUGGCGCGCUCCGCGCUCCUCCGGCUCCUCGGCUCUUGGGCUCCCCGGGAACUGUUAGUUCGGACCCGCUCGCCGAGCCCCUGAGGCGGCCGCUGGCUCUCGCUCUGCCCGAAAGUGCUCGGCGCCCCCGUCGCCGGCCGCCGUGGCCCCUGUCAAGAGGGAGGAAGCCGCCCGGCGGGUCGGCGCCCGGGCGGAGAGCGGAGCCGGCGGGCAGGGCGGCGGGAGGAAGGCGGGCUGGUCCGCGCCCCCGCCGAGCGCACACACACCCCCUUGGCGCCCCCGGGGGCCGGGCCGCUCGACGCCGCGGAUUUCCCGGGGACUCGGACCCCGGGGACCCUCGGGGCGCUCGCGGGGCGGGGAUCGCGGGUGGUCGGGCGAGGGGCGGCGGGGGCGUUGCCCUUGGGGCGGGGGGCGCCCAACUCUGCCCUCUCGCGCUCGGCGGCGGCGCCGGCGCUGUGUGUACCUCUUUAAGAAGGAGCCGCUCGAGCGCUGACGGUUGGGAUUUGAAGUUCUUCCUCCCUCUUUGGAAGUCUGGACGGAUGGGGGGUGUUGCCAAGGGAACGGCACCCUCCACCCCCUCCCCACCCCGCGCGGACGCCGGGACGGCUCUGGUCCUUUUUGUGUCAUGUGAUGGACUCUUCCCUGCACACUCGGACAUACACGCUCACACACCCCGCGCUCCCCACCUCUGCGGAUCCCGUCUUUCUUUUUGACAAAACUUACAGCGGGGGCUGGCGCUAUGGCAUAGCGGGUAAAGCUGCCGCCUGCAGUGCCAGCAUCCCAUGUGGCUGCUGGUUCGAGUCCUGGCUGCUCCACUUCCAAUCCAGCUCUCUGCUAUGGCCUGGAAAAGCAGUAGAAGAUGGCCCAAGUCCUUGGGCCCCUGCACCCAAGUGGGAGACCUGGAAGAAGCUCCUGACUCCUGGCUUUGGAUCGGCGCAGCUCCAGCUGUUGUGGCCAGUUGGGGAGUGAUCCAGCGGAUGGAAGACCUCUCUCAGCCUCUCUUCUCUCUCUGUAACUCUGAUUUUCAAAUAAAUAAAUAAAUCUUAAAAAAAAAAAUUACAGUGAAGAUACUUUUCUGUAUCUUAGCUCAUUCCCUUUCAUAUAGUUUUUCCAUAAUUGGCAACAACUCUAAUCAGCUUAGUUACAUUUGCUUUUUAUUAUUUUUUUCUCUUUAAACUGUUGUCAGGUUAUUUCACUUUCUUCACAGUAUCUGAUGGAUUCAGUGUUUGUGAUGUGGUAAAUUAGGCAGAUGAACAUAAGAUUCGGGUUUGUGUCUGGAUUACUGGUUUUACUAUCAUACAGCCUCUCUUAUAACCUACAGUAAAUCAUUGCUUGGAGUAGCUGCUUUGAUUUCAUAAUUUACAAAGCAAGUAAUAUCUCCCUUUUGUCUUUUGUUCAUCAGGUGAAAGCCCCUGACCACAUUCAACUAGUUGGCUAUGUUCUUCCAGACUGUUUCUUCCCCGUUUGUCCAGUUUCUUUAGACAAUGCAACCUUUUCAUUUGCUUUUAUUCUCUUUUAUAUAUAUAUUUCUCCAUAUUCUUGAAUCAUUUUAGUUGUAUCUUCAACCCUGCAUCCCCAGUUGUCUUUAAAAUUCAGCUCUACCUAGAGUUUUCUAGAGCAUUUAGAGCCCUUUGAUUCAAAUUGACCUUUUUUUUUUUUUUAAUUUGACAGGUAGAGUCAUAGACAGUGAGAGAGAGACAGAGAGAAAGGUCUUCCUUCCGUUAGUUCACUCCCCAAAUGGCCGCUACGGCUGGCACUGCGCCGAUCUGAAGCCAGGAGCCAGGUGCUUCCUCCUGAUCUCCCAUGCAGGUGCAGGGGCCCAAGCACUUGGGCCAUCCUCCACUGCCCUCCCGGGCCACAGCAGAAAGCUGGACUGGAAGAGGAGCAACCAGGACUAGAACCUGGCUAGGAUUAACCUAGUGAGCCACGGUGCCGACCCCUGACUGGUUCUUUUCUAACAGGUCAUGCAAGGAAUGUAUUUUGGAAUCAGUUAUGUUUCGUAGUCCUUAUGUUUAAACUGUUGAUGAUGAGGGACUAAGUCUUCAUAAAUGGUAGAAAGGGGUAAAUGGAAAGAACCCAUGUAAGACUCAUAGACACAAGAUGUUUUACCUUUAAGAUUGCUGUGUUUUAAUCAGAAAUGCUAUAUUGUAUAAUAGUGGCUUCUGGAAUGAAGACAUAAGUUAGAGAAUUAGCGUGAAGGUGAUAUUUAAAUCUAUGGAAAAUGAUGAGAUUACCACAGGGUAGGAUAGAAAUAGAGGACUUGGCCGGCGCUGCGGCUCACUAGGCUAAUCCUCCGCCUGUGGCGCCAGCAACCCGGGUUCUAGUCCUGGUUGAGGUACUGGAUUCUGUCCUGGUUGCUCCUCUUCCAGUCCAGUUCUCUGCUGUGGCCGGAAGGCAGUGGGCCCUGCACACAUAAUGGAGACCAGGAGGAAGCACCUGGCUCCUGGCUUCAGAUUGGCGCAGCACUGGCUGUAGCAGCCAUUUAGGGGAUGAACCAACCAAAGGAAGACCUUUCUCUCUGUCUCUAACUCUGCCUGUCAAAAAAAAAAAAAAAAAAAAAAAAAAAAAAAAAAAAGAAAUAGAAGACUUAAGAAAUUAUAACAUUUCCUGGCUAAAGGAAGACGAACUUCAAAGUGAGGACACUGAACUUUUAUACUUAAAAGUAAAGGCAGGAGCCAGCGAUGUGGUAUAGCAGGUUAACACCUUGGCCUGAAGCACCGGCAUCCCAUAUGGGCGUUGGUUCGAGAUCCAGCUGCUCCACUUCUGAUCCAGCUCUCUGCUAUGGCCUGGGAAAGCAGUAGAAGAUGGCCCAAGUCCUUGGGCCUCUGCACCUGAAUGGGAUCCCGGAGGAAGCUCCUGGCUCCUGGCUUCAGAUCAGUGCACGAUUGCUGCAGCCAUCUGGGGUGUGAACCAGCGGAUGGAGGACCUCUUUCUAUCUCUGCCUGUCCUCUCUCUGUGUAACUCUGACUUUGAAAUAAAUAAAUCUUUAGCCAAUGACUUUACUUUUAUUUUAAAACUGUAAAACUAGGGGAUAUUGGUAUUACCAAAUCCUAAGAAGAGUGGAUAAUAUUAAAAUAAGGAGGGAUUGUUACAUAUUGAUGUUAAAUUCCUGUGGUGAAAUGGUUUUUCUUGAAAACAUGGACGUUCUAGAUGACCUUGACUACAUAAAUUUCAGCAGAGCAGUAGAAAUGGCUGCCAAAUUGUAAUAGGCUAUAGAGAAUUAAGUUAUAUGCAGAGGUUAACGUUUGUAGGAGACUGCUCAGUUAAGAACUAUGUUUUGAGGAAUAACCAGUGAGUGGAACAGAAAUUGGAGACAUAUCUGGGGUCUAGAGAUGUUUGUUUCUUAGAUAGUAGAUAGAUUUAUAAUAGUAAGGUAGAUGGGAAAUACUUUUUAGAAUCAGUGAUACUGAUAAUUAUUUUGUAUGUUGUAUUUAAGCUUAGAUGAGAUAGUGACAAAAUAUUCAGAUAUAUUAGAUAAAGCAAGAGACUGGGCUUGGUUUGAAUUACUAAAUGUGAAUCCUUUAUUUUUGUCCUUCAAAAAUGUUUUCCUUACCAAGUUCGUCACUGAGAUAGUACAUACGACAUUGGUGCCUGGCACAUUUUAAAGAAAUGAUUUUUUUUCCAAUUAAUUUACUGUUGUCAGUCACCAAAUAUCUUGAGGCCUAUUUGACAGUUCGUUGAGGUAUAAUUCUAUUUCUUUUUUCAUACUGGGUUCUGAACUGGAAAUAGACAUAGGAAUCAGGGAUGAAAAUAUUAGCUUUUUUAACUGUUUAUUUUUAUCUACUUUAAAGGCAAAACAAGAGAGUGAGAAUGUGUGUUACAUGCCAGUGUUUGACAGCUCCCAUCUUGUUCACUCCGCAAAUGCUUCCAACAGCCAGAGCUGGACCAGGCGGAUGUCAGGAGCCAGCAGCUUCAUCUGGGUCUUCCACUAGAGUGGCAUCACCUGACUCCCAGGAUGCAUCAUCAGGAAGCUGGAUUAGAAGUGGAGUUACCUAUGAUUUAAACCAGGCUGUCUGGUGGUAGGAUGUGGGCAUCUAAGUAGCAACUUAACCUGCUGUGCCACACCAGCACUAGGUUUUUAAUGAUAAGGUUGUGUUGAAGAACUUGGUGAUGACUUGAAGCCAAAAUUAAAUAUUGGCCUACCUUACUCCCUGGCUUUCUGAAUUGCAUUGAACACCCUGUCAAAGAUAGUGCAAUCAGAAAUUUCAGGCCUCUUCUACAACGCAAGGAAGCUCUAACCCAGGGAGGCACAGUGAGCUAGAGUCUUGUCCAUGACUGAAAAAUGGCUUUUAAAACAUUAAUUCAUCCAGUAGGUAUGAUGCAUCAAUAUUCAUUUUCUUUCCUUGGGGAGGACUGAAUAAGUGCUUGUGGGAGUGCUAUUUUAUGGGACAGGCAAGAAUGGUGGAGUGGAUCAAAAAACUUACUGUUAAUUCAAGAAAUAAGAUUUUAGACUAUGCUUUUUUUUUAAGCUUUAUUUUUUUGAAAGAGUUACACAGAGAGAGGAGAGGCAGAGAGAGGUCUUCCAACUGAUGGUUCACUCUCCAGAUGGUCACAACGGCUGGAGCUGUGCCAAUCUGAAGCCAGGAGCCAGGAGCUUCUUCCUGGUCUCCCAUGUGGGUGUAGGGGCCCGAAGACUUGGGCCAUCUUCUGCUUUCUCGGGCCAUAGCAGAGAGCAGGACAGCAAGUGGAGCAGCCGGGUUUCGAACCGGCGCCCAUAUGGUACGCCGGUGCUUCUUUCUAGGGCGUUAACCCACUGUUCCACAGUACAGGCCCCUAGACUAUGCUUUUAAAGAGCUCACAAUGAUUAGGGAUGUGAGGAAUUUUAAGCUUAGUAUAAUAUAAUGGAAAGAUAGGCAAGGGAGUAAUUACUUUUGACUUGAAGAAUCUAAAAUGAUGACUUCAAAAGCUCAAGUGAAAACUGAGGUUGACAAACUUUCUGUAAAGGGCUGGAUGGUAAAUACAAGGGGUCUUCUAAAAUGUUAAGGAAAAUGUGCAUUCUGAAGAAACUUCAUGUAUUUAAAAAUUUUUUUGCAUCAAAACAAACACCUUUUAUUUCUGUUUUUCUAGAAACUUCUUGAAAUCCUUUAAAAAAAGGAUUUAUUUAUUUUACUUGAAAGAGUUACACAAAGAAAGAAGGAGAAGCAGAGAGAGGGAGGUCUUCCAUCUGCUGGUUCACUCCCCAAUUGGCCACAAUGGCCGGAGCUGCACCAAUCUGAAGCCAGGAGCUUCUUCUGGGUCUCCCAUGUGGGUGCAGGGGCCCAAGGGCUUGGGCCAUCUUCUACUGCUUUCCCAGGCCAUAGCAGAGAGCUGGAUGAGAAGUGGAGCAGCUGGGACUCAAACCUGGUGCCAAUAUGGGAUGCUGGCACUGCAGGUGGUGGCUUUACCUGCUACGCCACAGCGCCGGCCCUAAAUACUCUCAUAUUUAGACAUUGUGACAUUAGAAGAAUUGUCAGGUAGACUGUGUAGGCUGACUUAUUCAUCCAAUCUGAGGCACAGGGGAGAGGCACAGCAUAAUAUGAGCUCUCUGUAGCUCUGUAGUCUGUGUUUUUCCUGAGUAGUUUACUCUCAAUAGCCAUCUGGUCUUUGUUGCAGCUACUGACCAUUGCUGUUGUAGUGCAGAAGCAAUACAUAAAUGAAUGAGCUAGCUGGGUUAUAUCCCAAUAAGCAUUUAUUUAUAAAAAUAGGUGAUUUUACCUAUAGGCCAUAAUUUGCUGACUACUGAGAUUCUGCAGGAAAGUAGGAUGUAGGGAGCAGGCAGAGUGGUAAUAUAAGCAAAUACAUAGAAAUCUAAAUAAUGAUAUAUUCUGGAAAUAUUCAACACUGUAGUAUGAGUAUGUAGUAUGGGGUGGGAGUAGGAAAUAAGACUGGAGAGGUAUGAGCAUAAAAAUGACCUCUACAAGAAGGAAAAUAUGAGCCUUUGAAGUUGUUUGUUUUUUAAAUGGUAUAACCAUGACCAGAUAAGUUAGCUUAUUUUCAUUUGGAACAUCUGUUGUUUGUUCGGGUUGAAGUUGUUUUUUGUUUUGUUUUGUUUUUUUCAGUGAUUUAAGAAGCAGCCUUCUGAGUAAAAACUGGAAAAAUAUUAAUUGAGACAUUGGAAUUUCAAAGUACUUUCAAAUGGCACCCUUCUCUUCUGCCCAGGCUUUGAAAUAUAACAAGGAGAGAGAUGGAAACCAAAAUAUCUUUUGUUACUCAUAGAGGCCAGGUUACAGGAAUAUAACAAGGAGAUAGAUGGAAACAAACCAAAAUACCCUUGUUACUUAUAGAGGCCAGGUUACAGGAAUAAUCAGAUGGGCUGGCGUAGUCCUCCUUAGCCAUCCAUUCCUAGGUGCACUGGAGAAGCACCAUGUAACAUGAACUCUCUGCAGGUGUACUCUCCCUCAGUAGCAUCCUCCCAAGGGCAAGAGGCGCAGAGCUAAGCCCUCUCUACUCAGUUAUUCAUUCCAAAAUCAACAGGUAAAUCACAUCAGUUUCCUGGAAGUGAAGAGAGGCUUAGAUUGUGCCUCUUAAGCAUCCUUUCUCAUUGAAACCAAGAAAGCUGUGAUACCUCUAACAAUCGGGGCUUUUGAGGAAGGUUUUUUGCAGAGUGUAUCUGUGUUGGAAACAAUACUACUGUUACUAUUCUAUGAACAACUCCAUCUCACAUAUUCUGGAUAUUGUAAAAAAAAUAAUUCUGGUAUUUGGAACACCUGUGUAUUUUUAAUUCUCAAAAUAAAUUUAAAAUUUUUUAAGUAGACUUUUUUUUAGGCCUACAAAGGUACUUAAGUAAAAUGCAUGUUUGAUUAGAAAAGACAACGCUUCCUUCUAUAUUAUAAUUUUCUUUUUUUUUCUUUUAUUUAAUGAAUAUAAAUUUCCAAAGUACAGCUUAUGGAUUACAAUGGCUCCCCCCCCAUAACUUCCCUCCCACCUGCAACCCUCCCCUAUAUUAUAAUUUUCAAUAGACUUUUUAAAUUUAGGGGAUUAGUAUGGACAAACACAUUCUUUUAUGAAAAGAUGUGUAUAGUUGGUCCUUCUUAUCUGUGGAUCCCAUAUCUGUGGGUUCCAUUGAUCAUAGAUUAAAAAUAUUUGAAAAAUAUUUGUGUAUGUAUUGACCAUGUACAUUCUUUUUUUUCCUUGUUAUUCCAGUAUAACAACUAUUUACAUAUACUUGCAUUUAUUGGGUUUUGUAAGCAAUCUAAAUAUGAUUUAAAGUAAUUGAGAUGAUGUAUUGGUUUUGUAUUUGAUGUAUUUGUAUUUGAUGUAUUGAUUUUGUAUAAGGAACUUGAGCAUCUGCUGCUCUUGAUAUCCUAAGGAUAGUACUGAAACCAAUCCUCACUGAUAUGGAGGUACUACUUACUCUAACAAACACAUUGUCAUUUUUAAUUAGCAUUGAUUGUGGAUGUUUAUAUAGUUUAUUCACUGGUAUUUUUAAAAGGUAUCAUCAGUUGUUCUGUAUCCUCUUCCUCUUUCUGAGUAAUUCAGUACUAAAACCAUAGAUGGUACCAAGUAAGACAAAGUGUCUUCUCUGGGUGCAGUGUUUGGAAGAUAGUCAUAUUCUGUAGGAGGAGUAGAAUAUUAGAACCCGAUGGAAUGUGGAGGGUGUGCAUGUGGGUUGAUGGAAUUGUGAGGGCAAAGAGCUUGUCUGCAUAGGAAGGCAUGCUGGUACAGGGUGUUGGGCAUAAGCAGGAAGCAUAAGGUCUCUGUGAAGGAGAAUGAUCUGAUGUGGGGCGGGUCAGCGUGUCCCAACAAAGGAUGUCCAGACCAGAUUAGGCUAAGAGGAUGAGGAGGGCAUCUACUUGGGCUGUCAUAUGGUCCUGUAGGUUCUCAGAGCCCCCCAGCAGGAAGGUAGGAGGGUAUCCAUGUAGCAUUGCAGCCUGAAGUAAGUAUACUGAGACUCAAGUAGCAGGUGAGGAAGAAGUGCGUGUGUGUAGGUGUCUUGAGCACAAAGAGUCAGAACCUGAGGCACGGCGGAGCAGGGUGGGAGGGAGUAUCUCAGUGGAAGCAUCUGAGUGGAAUAUUAGCUUGAUUUGGGAUGUUAGAGUCUGAGCAGGGUAGGGAGGAUAUUCUUGUAGAAUGGUUGCCCGGCAUGAGGAAUAGGGGCCUGAGCAGGUUAAGGAGAUUAUACACAUGGGAUAGGUGUAGGGAUGUUGGGACUGGGAGGGAUGAGGGAGUGUCCAUGUGUAGAAUGAGAGCCAACCAUAAUGGGAAGUGGGUUACAUAAAGAGACACUGAUCAAAUAAAUAAAUAUUAAGCCAGGCCUUUAGGGAGCCAGGCUUCUUAUUGUCAAAGCAGAAUUAUAAAUAUAAAAACUAAAAACUAAAAUGCUGUCCAUAGAGUGGAUGGAAAUGAGAAAUCCGUGUAAACUCAUGCUUUUCAUUAUGUAUAGAUAUAGAGAUACCGCAGUGUCUGUGCAUCUGCCAUUAUAUCAUAUGCCCUAAACUGGUUACUGAGAAGGAGUCUGGGAACAAUGACAUCCCAAAUAGCAGUGAGCAUAAUGUAUCAUUAAUUUUCCCAUUUUACUGAUUGUUUUCAUAAGAGAAUGUCUUUGUAAGAAAAAAAUAAUUUGAGAAUUCCAGAGUGGUGAGAUUCAGUGCAGGCCAUUUACUAUCAAGUGGUUAGGAAAAUAAAAGUUCUUAUUAUACUUCAAAUAUUUUCUGUAUGUUUAAGAUUGCCACAAAUAAAAAGUUAAAAGCAAUGCAAUUAGCAUGUAUAUUAUGGUCUUGUGAAUUAAUCACUUUCAACCCUUAAAACUACACAGCUACAAUGAAUAGUUUCAUAGAUUUUUUUUUUUUUAAUCAGUGAGAAUUCUUUGAAACAUUGAUGGCUGAUGUUGAAUGUGUAUUAGUUUUUAAUUGCUAUAGUGAAAUACCUGAGGCUGGGUAAUUUUAUUAAAAAGAUUGAUUUAGCUAAAAGUUCUAGAGGUUUAAGGGUGUGGUCCUGGCAUCAGUUCUGGUGAGAAUUCCAUGGUGAACAGCAUUAUAAUGGUGUAAGCACAUGCAGAAGGCAGAGAACUUGUGUAUCACUAGACAGGAAACCAAUGAGGCUGGGAAACAGCUAGCCUUGUUUCUUUCUUUCUUUCUUUUUUUUUUUUUUUAAAGAUUUAUUUAUUUAAUUGGAAGAGUUACAGAGAGGCGAAGGUGGGAAAGAGGUCUUCCAUCCGCUGGUUCACUCCCCAGAUGGCCUCAACAGCUGGAGCUGCACCAGUCUGAAGCAGGUGCCAGGAGCUUCUUCCAGGUCUCCCAUGUGGAUGCAGGGUCUGGAGGACUUAGGCCAUUUCCUACUGCUCUCCCCGGCCAUAGCGGAGAGCAGGAUCAGAAGUGGAUCAGCUGGGACUUGAACCCGCGCCCAUAUGGGAUGCCAGCACUGCAAGGGCUGGCUUUAUUCACUAUGCCACAGUGCCAGCCCCAGCCUUGUUCUCUAACAACCUUCUCACAAGAACUAACUCUGGUAUUCCAGAAGAACUACCUUAAUUCCUUCUAUGGACACACCCCUAUGACCUAAGGAUGUCCCAUUAGGCCCCACCACUUACUGUCACCACAAUGGGAUCCACACUUCCAAUGCAUGAACCUUUGGGAGACAAAUCAUAUCCAAACCACAGAAGAGUGCUUACACAGGUGUUGGACACUAUGUUAGGUCUUUAUAUGUGUUAUGUUUUAACUUUCACAGAUGAAACAGUAAAAUUUUUAUCUUUAUUUUUAUAGCUGAGAAAACUAAACUGAGGCUUAGAUCAGGCUUUCCAUUUAGUAAACAUGGAGACUGAGUUUGCAGCUCUGUAAAAAUCAUUCAUAAUGAGGCUUAGUAAGUCCAAUAUAACUUGCUUCCUCUUUACUGCCAUGGCCUUUAUAUUUGUGAUUCUACCUGGAACACCACCAUCAGACAGCUGCAUCAGUAGCAUAGUAGUAGUACAGUAGUAAUGGCAACUAAAAUUUAUUGCCUGUCUGUUAAUACUUAUAUCUGCUAAGUGCUUUACAUAUAUUGUAUCCUUUAAUCCUCCGAGAAAAUUUUGAGUAUAGGUACUGUCUUUGACAUUUUACAGAGUUACACUGAACUCUUUUUUGGAUCCGCAAGCACUGUGCCCUUGUUUUCUAUUUCUGUUUAUAUAUUAUAAUAGCUGCUGUUCAUUGUGACUUUGAUUUUUUUAACAUAACGUAGAAAAAAGUAUGAGAUCAUGAACUUACACCUAAGUGAACAGUGUAUACCUACUCUUGUAACCAAUGCCAGAUUAAGAAAGGAUUACUGUCAUAUCCCUUCCCAGUCACCAGUCUCUUUCCCCUUCCCAGAAGUGAAUAGGAUUUCUUUACAUAAUAGAUUAAAUUUGCCCUUUUUGGGAAACCUUGUUUAAAUGGAAUUAAAAAGCAUGGGUUUUUUUGUGUUUAGCAUCUUUAACAUGGUAUUAUGUUUUUGUAAGUGAUACAUGUGGUUGCCUGUAUAGUUUAUUCAUUAUCAGUACUCUGUAAUAUUUCCCGAUGUAAAUAUCACAUUUAUCUAUUUUUUGAAGGGUAUUUGGGUUGCUUUCCACUGUAUAUUAUUACAAUAUAGUGAACAUUCUUGUAUGUAAUAUAUUCUUAAUUUUGAUUUAACUCCUGGAAUAUUUUAAAAUUUCAUUUUAGCUGUCUAGAUUUCACUGUUUUCCAGAAUCUUUUCUUAGACUCUGUAGUGUAGGGUUUAUACCUUUCUGUGUGUACUGUUAUCAUUCCCCUUCCUCUUUAUAGUAACUGUCUACUGCUUAUUUCCCACCAAGUUCAGAGUGUGUAUAUAUACACUUACACAUAAAAAUCAUAUUUCUCUUUCCCUCACUUCCUGGCACCCACUUAGUAUUUAACUGUUUAAUGAAUAUUUACUCUUUUAGUACUAAACAAACAUAAGCACAAAUCUUAUUGAAAUUAGGUAAUAAAGUUGACUAUUCUCCACCUUUAUUGUAGCCUGUUUGGUAAGAUGUGCAGAGUUACCAUAAAAUUAAUUAACAAGUUAUAUCAAAAAAUUUUAAUGUACCAGGCAUCUGCAUUGUCUAUGUUGUUCAUUUAUUCUACCAUACAUUUUCUUUAUUAUUGUGACACUUUUAAUAGCUUCACUAUUCAAGAUUCAUUUAUUUUAUUUGAAGACAGAGUUAUAGAGGGAGAGGGAGAGACAGAGAUUUUGUCCAUCUACUGGUUCACUUUCCAAAUGGCCUCAAUGGCCAAGGCUGGGCCAGACCAAAGUCUGGGGCCUAGAACUCCAUCUGGGUCUCCAACAUGGGUGGCAGGGGCCCAAGCACUCAGGCCAUGUUCCGCUACUUUUCUCAAGUGCAUUAGCAGGGAGCUGUAAUGGAAGCGGAGCAGCUGGAUAUGGAACUUGCAUUCAUAUGGAAUGCUGGCAUUCCAGGUAGGUGCUUAAACCCCCUGUGCCAUGACACUAGUCUCCAAUAGCUUUAUUUGUGGCAAACUUAGUGAUUAUCCUUCAAGUUUAGUCUUGAUUUUGGAAAUUGACAUAAGAUGUUUAAAACCAAGACUGCAAAAUUUUAUGAAUUAUAAAAUGUAUCAAAAGUGAAUUGAAAUUUUGGGGAACAGACUCUUCUCUACUGUGUGAUUCAUGGCUUUAACUAUUAUUUCUUUUUUAUAGAAUUAACUGAAUUCAAGUAGAGAUAUGCCACUGAAAUAAGCCAGAGUGUCUUUUGCCUUAUAAACCAGUUACUCUUGCAAGUUACUUAUCUAGUACUUAGUUUAUACUUGAAUAUUUUUUUAAAUUUUUUUUUAUUUGACAGAUAGUUAAACAGUGAGAGAGAGAGAGACAGAGAGAAAGGUCUUCCUUCCGUUGGUUCAUCCCCCAGAUGGCUGCUGCAGCCAGAGCUACACUGAUCCGAAGUGAGGAGCCAGGUGCCAGGUGCUUCCUCCUGGUCUCUCAUGCGGGUGCAGGAGCCCAAGCACUUGGCCCAUCCCCCACUGCACUCCCGGGCCACAGCAGACAGCUGGUCUGGAAGAGGAGCAACCGAGACUAGAACCCGGCACCCAUAUGGGCACCGCAGGGGGAGGAUUAACCAAGUGAGCCACGGCAUCGGCCCCUAUACUUGAAUAUUAUUUCUUUACUUUGUAAAAAUUUUUCCAUUUCAUUUUAGCCUUGUUUAUCCUGAAUUCGUCUUUUCUGUACUUAAAAAGUUUCAUCGUUGUUUUAACCAUUGUGCUCAUUACCAACACUUCUUCAUUACCUCAAUUAGAUAAUAAGACUGUCUUUCUAUCUUCUUUCUCUCACUCUCUCACUUGCUUUGGGCUCUAUUAACUCUUUAUUCUUGCUUACUUCAGACAUUGUAUAUAAUGUUUAUGGGUCUUGUCUGUUUUUUCUUCCCCACUAAACUGUAAGUCUAAGGCAGGUGUUUAUUACGAACUCAAUAAAACUUUUUAAAAAUGUGAACACAUUUUUUGUCUCCUGUUUUAGUGUCCUCUAAAUACAUCAUUUGCCACAAAUGCUCUUAUUUUAGAACUGUCCCUCUUUAAUGAAAAAGUGUUGUAUUUAAGUAUUGAUGGUCCCUUCUUUGUUCAGCCAAAUCCUCUAUAAACUUCACAAGUUAACAUUUUAUUAGAUAAAUCACAGUGACAGAUCCUGAGGGUAAUACAAAGACACUAUUGCUGUUGUCAAGGAUCCAAACACUGUCUCUCCCCAACCCAAAAAUAAAAGUCUCAAAUUGCGAAUUAAAUAAGAAUGUCAAGCUGCUUAGAGAAUGUGGUAUUGGUAAAUUGAAUUCUGACAAACAGGAUUGUAGAAGGCUUUGAGAUAUGGUUUAGACAGUACUUGUAUGCCAGGUCUUUGUAUUUUACAUAAGAACAAAACGUUUGCUUACUAAGGUUAAGUAAUUGUUCAACUCAUGAAAAAGCUGGAAGAUAUUGCUUUAGGUUAGUUUGUAAGACAAGACACUUAACAGGUGAAUAAAAACUGUGUGCAAAAGCUCAAAUGUAUACACAAUGUAAUGAGUUAUUUGGUUCUUAUAAGUGGCAUGUAAUUAUGAUGAAAUUAUGAGUUUAGAAAAUAGGUGGGAGUUAGAUCAAAAAGGACAUGUGUGCUAGCUUAAAACUUGUACCCUUGUGAUUCAUCUUGUAGAGAUCCAUUGAGUUUUAAGAAAAAUUAGUUAUUCUCUUCUAAAUGGUAAAAGUUGAUUAGAAUACUGAUUCCAAUAUCCAUUAUAAGAACCUUGGUAGUCAGAUAUUCCAGUAAUCUUUGAAUUUUCUACUGAGAAUGAUAUUCAACAGAGGGUACUGUUUAAGAUAAUACUGUGGUUUGGACAAGAUUUGGGUACUCAGCUUAUGCAGAUGCUUAAACCCCAGAGUCUUAUGUUAAUGGUGCAGAGAGGAUCGGAACCUAGUCCAUUUAAGGUUUCUGAAGGUUGGGAACUUGUUGGAUUGGGUUAAGUCUCCAGGGUGGAGCCCCAAGAUCAAAUCAUGAUGGUUUAAUGAGGAGAGACCAUGCUGAUGAGAACAUUCAUUGUCUCUUUGCUUCCUGCCCUACCAUAUGUUCCUCCUUCAGCAUACAGUACGCCAUCCACCUGCCUAAUCAGAUGCCAGAUAAAUAGGGCUGCCCAAUCUUUGUGCACCUCCAAAACUGAGCUGUGAUAAGCUGCCUUCCUUCAUAAGAAUCUUCUCCUAGGUGUUUUAGUUGUAGAAAUAUAAAGCUAAUAUAGGUAAUGAAAUUUAAUGUUUGGAAUUAAACUUUUUUCUAUUUAUGAAUUAUAUCUGCCCCCCAAAAGUUGUAAACAGUAUUAUGAUUUGUACUCAAAUACCCUCCACCCUAAGGAAUAAAAUUUGACUAAAUUGAAAUUCCCAUCCAUCAUUUCAGUUUCAUUUCCUUGACUCCACUCUGAAGUUACAUAUUUUUCUCUUAUUAAUAGUCUAAGAAGCAUUCAUAGUCUACUUUGUAUGGACAUUUCAGUGUGAAGAAUGAGAUAUAUUUUAUUUACCAGGUGGCUAUCUUUCAUAGAUGAUACACAUUGAGUUGUUUGGUUUUAAGUACUUGGCAAAUCUACGUGUAGGAAGCUUCCUUUUAAAACAUCUUAUCAACCCUAGAUUAUGUCUUUUAAUUUAUAAAUCUAGAUUUUUUUAAACUACUAGAUUUAUAUAACGAGGCAUGUCAGUGCUACAAAUAGGAUUGCUCUAGUAUUACUUUUUUUAAAAAAAUACUUAUUUGAAAGGCAGAGUUAGAGAUCUUCCAGCUGCUGCUUUGCUCUCCAAAUGAUGACAACAGUAGGGGGUGGGCCAGGAUUCUGAAACUCCAUCUAGGUAUUCAGUGUGGGUGGCAGGCACCCAAGCACUUGGACCAUCAUUUGCUGCCUUCUGAGAUGCAUUAGCAGAGAGCUGGAUAGGAAGUAGAGCAGCUACGACUUGAACUGGAGCUCAUGUGGGUUGCCAACAUCACAAGCAGCAGCUUAGCCUGCUGUGCCACAGUGCUGCCACCACUAGUGGUACAACUUUUUUUUUUUUUUUUAGAUUUUAUUUAUUUAUUUGAAAGGCAGAGUCAGAGAGGAAGAGAGAAAGGGAGGAAGAGAGAGGAAGAGAGAUAUUUUCUAUCUUCUGAUUCACUCCCCGAAUGACUGCAUCCACCAGAGUUGGGCAGAUCUGAAGCCAGGAGCCAGGAGCUUCCUUCAGAUCUCCCAUGUGGGUGUAGAGUCCCAAACACUUGGGCCAUUCUCCAAUGCUGUCCCAAGCAUACAGGCAGGGACCUGGAUUGGAAGCUGAGUAACGACCAUAUAAGAUAGAUGCCAGAGCUGAUGGUUGGCGGCUUUACCUGCUAUGCCACAGGCCCCCAGUAUUACAGCUUUAUAAGAGUAAUUUGCCUCGGGCCGGCUCUGUGGCCUGAGUGGGUAAAGCUGCUGCCUGCAGUACCAACAUCCCAUAUGAGAGCUGGUUUUAGUCCUGGCUGCUCCUCUUCUGAUCAGCUCUCUGCUAUGGCCUGGGAUAGCAGUAGAGGAUGGCCCAAGUCCUUGGGUCCCUGCACCGAGUGGAAGACCCAGAAGAUGCUCCUGGCUCUGGGCUUUGGAUCUACACAGCUCCAGCCGUUGUGGCCAUCUGGGGAGUGAACAAGCAGAUGGAAGACCUCUCUAUUCUCUCUCUGCCUCUGUCUCUGUGUAACUCUGCCUUUCAAAUAAAUAAAAUAAUUAAUUCUUUUAAAAAUAAUUUGCAAACUUAAUCUAGUAAGAGAUAAUGCUGGAGGGGGACCAGGAUUUAAGGUGCUGCUGUCAUGAGCAUCCCAUAUCAUAGUGUCUGGGUUGUAGUCCCACCUUUGCUUCCAGUUUCACCUUCCUGCUAAUGUGCACCCCUGAAGGAAUCAAGAGAUUGGCUCAAAUACUUGUUCCUGCGGCCCAUUUGGGAGAUCUGGACUGAGUUCCUGGCUCCUGGCUUUGACCUGGCACAGCCUUGAUUGUUAUGGGCAUUUAGGGAGUUAAACAACAGAUGUUAUCUUUAUCUCUAUCUCUACCACUCCAUCUCUCUUUCAAGUACAUAAAAUUAAUUAAUUAAAAAUAAUGUGAAACAGUAUGAGCACAGCUGAAUUGGAAUAUAUCUCCUUAAUCUAUCUGUGAACUCAGGAAUAAAUUGAAUUAUCUGUUCCAGGUUUCUGAUUGCAGCUAGCUUUUGUUUGUUGCUUUAUAUUUUACCAAGAAAUUGCAUGCAAAUUAACUUGGGACUUAGAAUAUAUGUGCUUUACUAAAUGUUUUAAUAAUAAAAUCUUCAGUAUAUGAAGUGUUGAUAAUAUUCAUGUUAUAGAAGAGAAAUUAUUGAUCGAAAGAAAUUAUUUGGCAGGAUCAUAUGGAUGGUACCAUGGCAAAUCUGGAACUCAGUUUUCUAUAUUUAAUGAGAGGGCAAAACAGACCCAGAUAUAAAACUCGGGGAUGCUAAUGUGAGAGUGAGACCAAUUUCUCCAACAGUGACUGAGAAGCACUUAAAUAUAGUGAAAUAAUUAUUAUAGUAUCAAAUCAACUGUUUAAGAUUUCAACAGUGUACCUUGUAAGUGUACUUCUUAGUAAUUCUCUGACUAGUUUGGUUUCCAUUUGUUGCAGUAUAAAUCAGGGAACUAGGUGAUUAAUUUUUAAAUUUUUUUCAUUUAGUGUGUGUUCAAAUAUAUUGACCUAGUUUCUUUUAACGCUGUUUCUCAACCUUGGCACUAUUUGACUUUUUGGCUGGAUAAUUCUUUGUUGUAGUGGGUGGUUUUCGGUAUUUAGCACCAUUGUUGUCCUUUUCUCAUAAGAUGCCAGAAAUUUAUUUAAGUACUCAUGUUUGGGAGUUAGGGAGACUUCAGCACAUUGAAAUAGAAACACCUUCCUUAAUAGAGACAUUAUGAUUCUAAAGUACUUGGAGGAAAUAUAUUUGACAUAUACUUAGAAAAACAACAGACUGAAAAGCAUAGUAAAAACUGCUGAAGAGUGGUAGUGGUUACGCUGCAAACUAAAUAAAUAAAACACUGAAUUAAUAAGUAAGAACAAAGUAGAUGUAAAUGUGAAUUUCAGAAAACUACUUGAUAUAAAGGAAGAAUUAUUAACUGCAGGGAGUUUUCAACUUACAAGUGGAGCUGCAUUCUAGAAGUUGUUUUAAGAAUGUCUUAGGGGCCGGCGCUGCGGCUCAAUAGGCUAAUCCUCCAACUGUGGUGCCGGCACUCCAGGUUCUAGUCCCGGUCAGGGUGCCAGAUUUUGUCCUGGUUGCUCCUCUUCCAGGCCAGCUCUCUGCUGUGGCCCGGGAGUGCAGUGGAGGAUGGCCCAAGUCCUUGGGCCCUGCACCUGCAUGGGAGACCAGGAGAAGCACCUGGCUCCUGGCUUCGGAUCAGCGUGGUGCACCGGCCACAGCACGCCGACCGGAGGGUGAACCAAUGUUAAAGAAGACCUUUUUCUGUCUCUCUCACUGUCCACUCUGCCGGUCCAAAAAAAAAAAAAAAAAUGUGUUAGGUGUUAGAAUAAAAUUUUUCUCUCAAACAUGUAUUCAAGUAAUAUGUGAGUACCUAACAUGGGCUAAGCAUUGGGGCUAGCAUAGUGAGCAAGAUGAUAUGAUUCCUGCCUCCUUGGGGUGUAUAUAGAUUUUUGUGAUAUUUAUCAAAUAAAGAUUGAUUUAUAUGCUAUUUUUUCUUCUAGUACUCCUCUUCCCCCAUUUUGUGCUGAGGAUAGAGUUAUCAUUUCCUACUCACUGAUGUAUCUCCAGGUUCUAGAAUACCUAAUAAACAUGCAAAUAUUUGUUAAAUGGAUUAAUUCUUUAGUUGGGAAGAGACAUUAAAAAUUAGACGUGAUUAAUUAUAAUUGUUAGUGCUUCAAAGGGACUAAUACAGGGUGUUUUGUAUAUGUAAAAUACAUGUAACAUGAGUCUCAUGUAGUCUACUGCUAGAUUAGAUGAGAUGAAAAUUUAAAUUGAGACAGCAGUCCUUAAACCAACAUUUUAAGAAGUAGGUGUUAUGUUUUGGGAGUGGGAAUGGGAGUUUGAGUGUGAUAUGGCUGAAGGAACAGUUUAUGUAAAGAACUGAGGUACAUACAGUGUGACUUGAGGUUUGAGUAUUGGCAACUAUGGAGGCUAGGCAGCAGUAUGGUAUGAGAUGGACUAUUUAUUGUAUUAUGCACUGAAACACUGAAUAUUACAUUGACAACAAUGGAAAUGAAAAUAGAAAAACAACUUUGAAAUGGUGACUUUAAAAGAUUUUGGUUCAGGGGCUGGCACUGUGGCUCAGUUGGUUAACACCCUGGACUGAAGCGCUGGCAUCCCACAUGCGUGCCGCUUCUAGUCCUGGCUGCUCUUCUUCCGAUCCAGUUCUCUCCUAUGGCCUGAGACAGCAGUGGAAGAUGGCCCAAGUUCUUGGGCCCCUGCACCCAUGUGGGAGACCCAGAAGAAGCUCCUGGCUCCUGACUUCAGAUCAGCACAGGUCCAGCCGUUGCGGCCAUCUGGGGAGUGAACCAGCGGAUGGAAGAUCUCUUUCUCUGUACCUCUCUCUGUAACUCAAUAGAAUAAAUCUUUAAAAAUA